AUUGAACGCUGGCGGCAUGCCUUACACAUGCAAGUCGAACGGCAGCAUGAUCUAGCUUGCUAGAUUGAUGGCGAGUGGCGAACGGGUGAGUAAUACAUCGGAACGUGCCCUGUAGUGGGGGAUAACUAGUCGAAAGAUUAGCUAAUACCGCAUACGACCUGAGGGUGAAAGUGGGGGACCGCAAGGCCUCAUGCUAUAGGAGCGGCCGAUGUCUGAUUAGCUAGUUGGUGAGGUAAAGGCUCACCAAGGCGACGAUCAGUAGCUGGUCUGAGAGGACGAUCAGCCACACUGGGACUGAGACACGGCCCAGACUCCUACGGGAGGCAGCAGUGGGGAAUUUUGGACAAUGGGCGAAAGCCUGAUCCAGCAAUGCCGCGUGUGUGAAGAAGGCCUUCGGGUUGUAAAGCACUUUUGUCCGGAAAGAAAUGGCUCUGGUUAGUACCUGGGGUCGAUGACGGUACCGGAAGAAUAAGGACCGGCUAACUACGUG
rnacentral:rRNA from 1 species